GGGCCCGCACAAGCGGUGGAGUAUGUGGUUUAAUUCGACGCUACGCGAAGAACCUUACCGGGGCUUGACAUCCCGUGCUAUCUGAUGAAAGUCAGAGUUCCCUUCGGGGACGCGGAGACAGGUGGUGCAUGGCUGUCGUCAGCUCGUGUCGUGAGAUGUUGGGUUAAGUCCCGCAACGAGCGCAACCCUUGUCCUUAGUUGCCAGCAUGUAAUGGUGGGCACUCUAAGGAGACUGCCGGUGACAAACCGGAGGAAGGUGGGGAUGACGUCAAGUCAUCAUGCCCCUUAUGUUCCGGGCUACACACGUACUACAAUGGUCUGUACAGAGGGUCGCGAAGCCGUGAGGUGGAGCCAAUCCCAGAAAGCAGAUCUCAGUUCGGAUUGCAGGCUGAAACUCGCCUGCAUGAAGUUGGAAUCGCUAGUAAUCGCAGGUCAGCAUACUGCGGUGAAUACGUUCCCGGGCCUU
rnacentral:rRNA from 1 species